GAUGAACGCUAGCGGGAGGCCUAACACAUGCAAGCCGAGCGGUAGAGAUUCUUCGGAAUCUUGAGAGCGGCGUACGGGUGCGGAACACGUGUGCAACCUACCUUUAUCUGGAGGAUAGCCUUUCGAAAGGAAGAUUAAUACUCCAUAAUAUAUUUGAUGGCAUCAUUAAAUAUUGAAAGCUCCGGCGGAUAGAGAUGGGCACGCGCAAGAUUAGCUAGUUGGUGAGGUAACGGCUCACCAAGGCAAUGAUCUUUAGGGGCCUGAGAGGGUGAUCCCCCAACUGGUACUGAGACACGGACCAGACUCCUACGGGAGGCAGCAGUGAGGAAUAUUGGUCAAUGGGUGCAAGCCUGAACCAGCCAU
rnacentral:rRNA from 1 species